AUGAGGGAGCGCGUGAUGAGGGUAAUGGGGGGAUUAAUUAACGGCGGAAGGCGCGCGGCGCCGGGGCGAUGCCGUUGGUGUCCCCUCGGUGUCCACGCGGGUCCCUGGGUGUCCCUGUCACCCCCUGGGUGUCCCUGGGUGUCGGUGGGACCCCGAUGUCACCCUCGGUGUCCCCUGGGUGUCCCCAAGGCGCAGGUGGCCUUCCUGCAGGGCGAGCGCAAGGGCCAGGAGAACCUCAAGCUGGACCUGGUGCGGCGCAUCCGCAUGCUGGAGUUCGCCCUCAAGCAGGAGAGGUGGGGAUGCCAAAAAACCUCAAAAAAACCCCAAAAUAUUGCCCAAAACCACCCCGAAAAUUGCUCUGGACGACCCCAAAAAACCACCACAAAAAUUGUCCGAAAAACCUCAGGAAUGGGUCAAAAAUCACCCCAAAAACCCUCAAAAAACCACCCCAAAAAUUACCCGAGAAAGGUCAGAAAUUGCUCAAAAAUCACCCCAAAACCCCUCAAAAAACCACCCCAAAAAUCACCUGAAAAAGCUCAGAAAUUGCUCAGAAAUCACCCCAAAAAACCCCAAAAAUUGUCCUGAAAGACCCAAAAAAACCCCCAAAAAUGAUCCCAAAAAUUGUCCAAAAAACCUCAAGAAUGGGUCAAAAAUCACCCCAAAAACUCUCAAAAAACCACCCCAAAAUUACCUGAGAAAGGUCAGAAAAUGCUCAAAAAUCACCCUAAAAAUCCUCAAAAAACCACCCCAAAAAUUGCCCGAAAAACUGAGAAAUUGCUCAAAAAUCACCUCAAAAAUCCAAAAAAAAACACCCCAAAAAUUGCCCUGAAAGACCCAAAAAAAACCCCAAAAACCACUCCAAAAAUUGCCCAAAAAACCUCAGAAAUUGCUCAAAAAUCACCCCAAAAAACCACCCCAAAAAUUGUCCUGAAAGACCCCAAAAAACCCCCAAAAACCACCCCAAAAACUGCCCAAAAAACCUCAGAAAUUGCUCAAAAAUCACCCCAAAAACCCUCAAAAAACCACCCCAAAAAUUGUCCAAAAAGCCUGAGAAAUUGCCCAAAAACCACCUGAAAAACCCUCAAAAAACCACCCCAAAAAUUGCCCAAAACACUCAGAAAUCGCUCAAAAAUCACCCAAAAAACCCUCAAAAAACCACUCCAAAAAUUGCCCUGAAAGACCCCAAAAAACCCCAAAAAGUUCACCCCAAAAAUUGCCCAAAAAAUCCAAAAACCACCCCAAAAAUUGCCCAAAACCCUCAGAAAUCGCUCAAAAAUCACCCCAAAAAAUCACCCCCGAAAUUGCCCAAAGAAAACCCAAAAAAUUCACCCCAAAAUUGCCCAAAAACCCCCAAAAAACCCCAAAAAAUCCACCCCAAAAAUUGCCCAAAAAAUCCAAAAGCCACCCCAAAAAUUGCCCAAAACCCUCAGAAAUCGCUCAAAAAUCACCCCAAAAAACCACCCCCAAAAUUGCCCAAAGAAAACCCCAAAAAAUCCACCCCAAAAAUUGCCCAAAAAAGCCCAAAAAAAACCCCCAAAAUUGCCCAAAAACCCCCAAAAAACCCCAAAAAAUCCACCCCAAAAAUUGCCCAAAAAAUCCAAAAACCACCCCAAAAAUUGCCCAAAACCCUCAGAAAUCGCUCAAAAAUCACCCCAAAAACCCUCAAAAAACCACCCCAAAAACCCCCAAAAACGCCCCAAAACGCCCCAAAAUCCCACCAAAAAAAAACCCCAAAACCCCCAAAUCCCCUCAAAAACCCCAAAUCGCCCCAAAUCCGCCCAAAAAGCCCCAAAAGUGCCCGAUUUUGGCUUUUAGGGCCAAGUACCAGAAGCUGAAGUUCGGGACGGAGGCGGCGCCGGGGGAGAAGCGCCCGGAGGAGCCGGGUGAGACCCC
rnacentral:lncRNA from 13 species